rnacentral:rRNA from 1 species
CCUGGCCUGUAAGCGGGGAAUAACCCGUGAAAGACGGACUAAUACCGCAUAAUACUAAAGUUACUGCAUGGUAAUUAUUUAAACAUUUAUGGCUUACAGAUGGGCAUGCGCAUGAUUAGCUAGUUGGAGAGGUAACGGCUCCCCAAGGGCAACGAUCAUUAGGGGUUCUGAGAGGAAGGUCCCCCACACUGGUACUGAGACACGGACCAGACUCCUACGGGAGGCAGCAGUGAGGAAUAUUGGUCAAUGGACGAGAGUCUGAACCAGCCAAGUCGCGUGCAGGAAGAAUGUCCCUAUGGAUUGUAAACUGCUUUUGCAGGGGAAUAAAGUGCAUCACGUGUGAUGUUUUGUAUGUACUCUGCGAAUAAGGAUCGGCUAACUCCGUGCCAGCAGCCGC